GAAUUACUGUCCAUUUUAAAUUGUGUAUAAAAUCAUGGUGUUAUUUGCAAUUGAGACAUUAUUAAAAAUAUUGAUGUCAAAUUAAAUUUUCAAAUAUGCAAUUCCAAAAUGUUUGAACAAAUAAUGUUGAAAUCGACAAUUAAAGCAAUGACACAGGUAAUUCCAACUCAAUCAUAAACGAGUACAACAUAGGUACAUGUGAGUUUGUGGUUUUUAUAUUUAUUAAAAAUUUUAUGUUGAAA
rnacentral:lncRNA from 1 species